ACGCUGGCGGCGUGCCUAACACAUGCAAGUCGAACGGGGAUUUUGUUUCGGCAGAAUCCUAGUGGCGAACGGGUGAGUAACGCGUAUGCAACCUGCCCACCACACGGAGAUAGCCGACCGAAAGGACGAUUAAACUCCGAUGGCAUUGGGAACCGGCAUCGGUAUCCAAUUAAAUAUUCAUAGGUGGUGGAUGGGCAUGCGUGGCAUUAGUUAGUUGGCGGGGCAACGGCCCACCAAGACGAUGAUGCCUAUGGGUUCUAAAAGGAAGAUCCCACACAUCGGUACUGAGACACGGACCGAACUCC
rnacentral:rRNA from 1 species